GGCAACAGAUGAACACAGAAGACGUGUUUUGGUCGACAUCAUCCUUCUUUUAACCGAAAUAAUUCCAGAUAACUGACUUUCCUUUUCUUUUUGGCAACAAAUCUUCAUUUUCGGUGGUUUUCGCUUGUUCGUUGUUCAUUUUGCGAUCGUUGUUGUUGUUGUUAGCGGUGUUGUGCCGAGAAACGCAUGUCCUCCGAGAAUUGCACGCACCUCGCAAAACGCGCACUGCUCAUAGUAGAGUGGUCCACGGAAAUGUACAAUUUAAAACCCAUACAGUUCUUAUUUGUUGGGCUUAAUAGUCAUGAGUAAAGUUCCGAAAGUAAUUCUCAGCGGACACACGUCUCCCUCCAUGUGCAGAACAUGUGCAGGGGUGGGUUUUCUCCUCCCUGAUUUUGAUUGACAGCUGGCAGGGUAGUCUGAUUGGCAACUGAGAAGUGAGUCUGAUUGGCAACUGAGUUAAGGACGAAGGUGAUUGGUGGAUCGCUGCAAAGCACAUGCAGAGUCACAUGGAGUGUAUCUCAGUCGGUUACCCUUGAAAUUAAAUGAGUUCAUUCACCUCCAAUAUCGCAGGCUCUGCGAUGUGACUAUCGCACACACGUACAUCGCGAUGACGAUAGUCAAACGAUAUAUCGUUCAGGCCUAUCA